AGUGGCGUAGCGCAGAGGCAGCCGCGCCUCCUUUCCCAGGAGGGACACGCCGGUUCGAAUCCGGCCGCUCUGGCA
rnacentral:tRNA from 1 species